AAGUUGAGACGGAAGACAAAGAAGAAAAAAUGCACACAAUGUUAUCUGUUGCAGGGGCGUCAUGAUUUUGCUUGAAGUGAUUGGUGUUUUCUCGCGCAGACGUCAAAUCAUGGCUGGACAUGCAACAUAAGUAUAUAUAUAGGUGCGUGAUUGCUGUUCAGCAACUUGUCUUCAUUCCUGACGCUUGCUACGGAGACACUGCCCAAGACGCAUUAUUCCGCACACAAAGCUACAAUCUCAAGCCCAAGCAAUGCAGUUCCUUUGGCAUCUACUGAUACUAACCAUCCUGAUGGCAAAUGCUGCUCAUCUAUAUCAAACAA